GGGCGGUGACUGGCGCUAUAUUCGGUUUGUGUGCGAUAUUGCACCAGUCCCGGCCUAU
rnacentral:precursor_RNA from 1 species